UCAAACUCCAUAGAUUAAAUAAGAACCGAAUAAACGGAAUAGUACUCUGUUUCCAUCAUAGCUCCCUCCUUCAGUCCUUCACCUCUUCACCGCCGUCGUUUUCAUCUCUCGCUCCGGCGUCUCCGCCUUCUUCACCGUCGUUGUCCUCCAAUUCCUCAGGGCUGUAUUUUAUAAGAUGGCUGACAUAUCUAUACUGCCUCGUAGCAGGGCUGUAUUUUAUAAGAUGGCUGACAUAUCUAUACUGCCUCGUAAGCUCCGAAGAACAAUGCACCCCACUUCCUGACCGGCUUUCAUCAAGUGUUGCCGGAUGGAGAGUAACUUGGAGGAUCGAAUUAAUGCUUUGCCAGAUGACAUUCUUAUUUCAAUUGUUUCUUGCCUAAACCUGAUUGAAGCAGCUAAAACUAGCGUCAUAUCUCGUCGAUGGAGAUAUCUUUGGACACACACAACCGGUACAUUGGACUUCGUUGAAUUUGCUCAUGGGGAACAACAUAACUUACUCGAUGCUUCAAGGUGUAGGUUUAUAGAGUGGGUGGAUCUGGUUCUGAAUUUACAUAAAGGGUCUACAAUAGACGAGUUCAGAGUUUGCUUUAGUACCAGUGAUAAAAAUUCAGAUAAGAUAAAUAGCUGGAUCAUAUUUGCAUUAGAAAGGCGUGUGAAACGGCUUACAUUGGAUUUCGCACAUAUUGAACGUUUAGCACCUUUUGGCAGUUAUGAACUUAGAACAAAGGUUUUCAGCAAUUGUACUCUUGGUUCCUUGACCGUUCUUCAUCUGAAACAUGUAACGAUGACUGAUGGUGUUCUUGGGUGCAUUUUAUACAGUUUCCCACUGCUUGAAGUUUUGCAUCUCAAUACAGUGUCGUGGUUGACAAAACCGAAAAUUGGUGGGACAUCAUCAUCCAGGCUAAGGUCUCUGGAGAUAAAGAAUUGCUUGUAUCUGCGCUGCCUUGAAGUACAUGCUGUCAAUCUUGUUUCCUUUGCUUACUGCGGUCCCGAGAUAAGUAUAUUUUUCAAGAAAGUUCCUAGCCUUGUUGAAGCAAAUGUUGACAAAAUCUUUUAUGUGAGAAAUUUCUGAAACAUUCGAGGUCAUGCUUUUCUCGGUUGGAGUCACUUGUACUGGACUUUCAAGAUUGGCAUCGAGAAUGGAUCCCAAGACUUCCCAAGUUUAAGAAACUCAAGUGCUUGAAAUUGAGCUUGUCAGGCAUGAGUGUUCUCUCUUACGUUCGCAUCUGCAAUGAGCUACUUAAGGCGUCUCCAUCGCUGCAGAGACUUUUGUUGAAGAUAUAUAGCAUUUUGAGAAACAUAGAUGUUGGAACAAAUAUAUAUAGAACCAGAAGAAAGGCGAGGUACCAACAUACACAACUGAAAGUGGUGGAAUUUGUUGGUUUUCGUGGGUAUACAAAGGAUGUUGAACUUGUUGAGUGUUUGCAAGCUGCGCUUCCGGGUUUGGAAAAGCUAGUUAUUGAUCCUCACCCCGUUUCUCCAUCUGAUAAAUGUGGAGAGUGGGAUAUUGGAAAGGCUAUCUAUAAUGCUCAACAACUGCGGAAUAUAUUGUCUUUAGGAGCCAAAUUAGUGAUAUCCUCUGAGGAAGACAACAACAACUUCUCUAGUGAAGAGAACUAACUCAGCUCUGCUCAUUCUAGCUAGGUACACAUAAUCUAGUUUAACUUAAAGUCGAGCCAUUACAUUCAGAUUUCAGAGUGUUGUUAUCAUAAUCUAGUAUUAUUAUGAUAGAUGUUUUUAGAAAGAAUCCACACUGUCUGAUAUACUUUGUGUAUCUUUUGUUUGAAUAAGAAAUGCUUUUUCGUAAUGUCCUUGUUGCCCACUCGGACAAAAAUCUGAUAUACACUGUCUAUUAUAGUUUGAACCUUUCCUAAGGAUUCAAGAUCCUUAUAUAAGCAUGUAACCAUGGAUUCUAAAAUCUUGGUCAAGGUCCUACAAUAAUAGAGAUUGU